rnacentral:rRNA from 1 species
UACGAAGGGGGCUAGCGUUGCUCGGAAUCACUGGGCGUAAAGGGUGCGUAGGCGGGUCUUUAAGUCAGGGGUGAAAUCCUGGAGCUCAACUCCGGAACUGCCUUCGAUACUGAGAGUCUCGAGUCCGGGAGAGGUGAGUGGAACUGCGAGUGUAGAGGUGAAAUUCGUAGAUAUUCGCAAGAACACCAGUGGCGAAGGCGGCUCACUGGCCCGGUACUGACGCUGAGACGCGAAAGCGUGGGGAGCGAACAGG